UGAUUGAUAUUUGACUAUAUCAUUGUUCAUGGGUUAUAUGCUGAAAUUAUUUUUUUCUACUUUUUCGCUACCAUGUCUAGAUCGGAGGAUGACGAAUUGGGACCGAGAUUGUAGAAGACGGGAAAACAUGGCGACCGAAUUGGGACCGAGAUCGGAGGAUGACGAGUAGCUCAUCCAAGCACCACCGCGAACAAGCGUAGUCGGGAGAGAGAGAUUGUUCGAUUGCAUUGAGGAGCUCUGGCGCAAUAAGUUCUCCUCGCUGAGGAUCGUAAGACACUUCCAUUUAGAUAGGAAGCAUCAAAAUUCAUAACACUUUCUUCUCUGUACAAUUAUGGAAGUAGUUGAAAAUAUCAACACUUAUGAAGAAAAUUAAUGUUAGGCCCAGACCCAGCCCACACCAGAGUGCUAGUCCCACAUCGUUAACACAUAGCAAAACUCAAGUAUUUAUAUAACCAUUGCAAGGAAGAACACUCACGACCUUACUUGAACAGAGAGACAGGAACCUAAAUCUGGCGGAUGAAUCAUGACCGUCAGAUUACAAUCCCUUUUUUUGCGUUGUCUUUUUGAUUCCGUUCGUUUUCCGGUGAAGAAACGUAACCCUAAACCCUCUCUCUGGACCGCUUCUUUCAACUGGGUCGCUUCCGUGUCCAGAACGUCGUCGUCAAAACACACGACCGUCAUAUAGAAUUUGCUUUUAGUCCAACUUAGCAUUUUCUGUUUGGGGAGUAAUUUGCGUGAGAGCAUGUUUUGGAGGAGUAGGAUCAGAAUUUCCCUGAUGAGGUCGAAACUUUCGGAGAGAGCCGGUCUGGUUUCGCUACUCUCUCGUUUAUAUAGAAUGCCUUUAUUAUAAGCAUCCUUUUAUGUGUAUGUGGAAGUUUAUAUUUUAAUGAGCAUGAAGUGUUAGAGAAGAGUGGAGAUUUUCUAAGUUGGUAAACUUCCUCCGAUUGAAGAAUUUGCAAAUGGUAUUCCUUUUGAUGAGUUUAGUUGAAAAUGUCAUACCUGGAGUUAGUUUCAAGAAAUAAACUUGCAAUGGGCUUUGGUCGUGUAUUGUUUCUAGAGCUACGAAAGAGACUUCAAAAUGUUGGCAUUUGCUCUAUUUUCUGUGGGGAGACAAAGAAUCUAAAGGAUUUUGGCUUAAACAGAUACUGUACACGGAAGCAGAAAAUGUAGACUCGUCACCGGCACGGAAGCAGGAAAACGUACUCGUCAUCGGUGCCGAAGAAUUCGCACGUGAGGGAGGUAGUGAAAAACGUACUCGGAGCACCGUCAACGACACAUUCGCACGGUGAUGGAAGGAGGAAAAUGCAUGGCGCUGAAAAGUUCUCGCUUCAGGGAGGGAGUGAAGAGUUCACGAAAAGCGUGAAUUGAAGAAUUUGUGCCCGUUUUUCUAAUUUUGUGGUUAAUUUUGGAGAAGUUUUUUUUUAGAAAAAAAUGUUUGUUAGAACGGGUCUAAUAUAAUAGAUCUAACAAAGUUUUUUAAAUGCGUUGGAGGAGUGACAUUUGAAUGGUGGCGUUGAAGGUAGAGACAUUAAAGUAAAAUUAUUGGAUAAAGUCCAAAUUUUUUUGAAUGGAGAUUCUUACCUGUUUCGACUUUUGCCUUGAAUCA